rnacentral:tRNA from 1 species
AAGGGAGACCUAAUUCAGGUAGGAGACGAAAAAAAAGUAGUCCCGACCAAGAAUCAAUCCCAAAAGGUCGGAGCGAGGCGAAAUUGGCUUUCAAACUAGGUUCUGGGUUCACACAAGACCUGAAUCAGGAACAAGGGCUAUUAGCUCAGGUGGUUAGAGCGCACCCCUGAUAAGGGUGAGGUCCCUGGUUCGAGUCCAGGAUGGCCCACCUGCACAGGUGGCAAAAACAAGAGAAGCGAGGAAUCAGCACCUUAUCUUAUCUAUAUAUAUAUAGGAGAGAAUGCUGGCUCUGAGUAAAGAGUCCAGAGGAACCUUGAAAACUGCAUAGAGCUAGGUGAAAAAGCCAAAAAAGAAGACCGCAA